rnacentral:rRNA from 1 species
GACGAACGCUGGCGGCGUGCUUAACACAUGCAAGUCGAACGGUAAGGCCCUUCGGGGUACACGAGUGGCGAACGGGUGAGUAACACGUGGGUGAUCUGCCCUGCACUUCGGGAUAAGCCUGGGAAACUGGGUCUAAUACCGGAUAGGACCACUGCCUGCAUGGGUGGUGGUGGAAAGCUUUUGCGGUGUGGGAUGGGCCCGCGGCCUAUCAGCUUGUUGGUGGGGUGAUGGCCCACCAAGGCGACGACGGGUAGCCGGCCUGGGAGGGUGACCGGCCACACUGGGACUGAGACACGGCCCAGACUCCUACGGGAGGCAGCAGUGGGGAAUAUUGCACAAUGGGCGCAAGCCUGAUGCAGCGACGCCGCGUGAGGGAUGACGGCCUUCGGGUUGUAAACCUCUUUCAGCACCGACGAAGCGCAAGUGACGGUAGGUGCAGAAGAAGGACCGGCCAACUACGUGCCAGCCGCCGCAGUAA